CGGCCCGGGCCCCGGACACCGCACGGCAGUGACAUGCCAACGCCGCCGCCUCCAGACAAGCCUCCCUGCCUCCUCUCACUUCUCCCUGGGCCGGGAGCACUCUGCAGACAGACAAAUUCCUUCUGCCUGGACUCUUCUUUCAGAAGAGCAGCAGGCCCAGUUGUAUCAGAGCAAAGGGCUUUGUUCUCCCAGCCGCUGCAGGUUCCUGGCUUUUGUCAUCAAAUCUUCGUUGUGGGUACUCAUCAAGCCCCAAAUCAGAGUGAUUUGCUAAACCGCAAGGCCUGGAGUUCCCUUGAAGAGCAAACAUUCUGCCAUCAGACCAAGAGUGUUCACUUUUGUAUGACAGCCUCCACCAGCACAAAGACUAAACCUCAACUUAGGCACCUACAAUGCCCUCAUUGCUAUGCAGCCUCAAAACAGGAUCCAAAGAGCUUCCAGAAAGAAAACGGGGAAACAAACAUGGCAAAGAGGGCAAGGGAAACAGUGAUGAAUCAUUUCUGUGGUAAGCUAACACCCAUGAAUUGAUCAGCUACAAAUUUCUGGGGUGGUGGGAACCUGUACAGGUGCACAGCACUCCCCACAGCUGGCAAGUCACGGUCUCUGCAGGACAGCAAGCUGUGAGACACAUUAUCAGCCUUAACACAAAAAGAUUUGCCGUUUCCCUCACAACCACAGAGCAGCCUGUAAUUCCCAGAUGCAGCUAAUAGCAGUCACUUAUGACUAGUUGCGGUUUCAGGCUAUGAUAGAUGCCGUUCACUGGUAACCCUUCCCUCCCUCUCUCCAUUAAUAAUCCUCCUCCUCCCUCCAGUUACCAGAAAAUACAGCAGUGCUGCCUUCUGCCUGCCCCUCUCUCCUCCCUCCAGGCUACUCCUUUGGAGAAUUGGCUCCACAGCUGGAUUGUAAAAUAAUCCAGCUGUUCCUAUGACAACAUGCUGGCAGUGGGCAGAGAUGACGCCAGCACGCAGUGUUGGCCCAUUCACUACCAACACCCAACUUUGUUUUGGUUUGGGAAGCAUUUGUUUUUCUAUGCGGGCAGCUUUGCCAAGUACAUUUCUGAAGGCCGGAGGGGCAGGAGGAGCCACAAUCCCAUAAAUGCCAAGAAAGUUGCUGGCUCUGUGAUUUACCCUUGUUUUGGUUUGGCUGGGGUUUUUUUUGCCCCAACUCCAUCUGAUGUGAGGAUAAAAACCCCUCCAGCAAUCUUGCAGCUGCACACAAUCUUUGCAAGACUUGAUCCAGAGCCUGAUUUGAAAGGCACAGUGCAAGACUUUGCGUGUCAGGCUUCCACAGGAAAAAAAAAAGAAAAGCCUUGGGUAGAAUCAAUAGGGGCCACACAGUUUUUAUUUUAAUAUCUUGCCUGUCAGCAGAAAGUUUGCAGGGUACAGGGAAGCAAAGGGAAAGCUUGUUCCAUGUAAAGCAUUAGCCAAACACCUGGCUGGACUCACCCAGCCUCUCCAGCUCUGACAGGAGCUAGCUCAUGUACCGAGGGAUUUGGGCAGAGGCCAUUAGCAGGAGCAGAAGGAUUUUCCUAUCAGGCUCAGCAAACACAGGAGGCUCCUUAGGUACUGCAGGUAUUAAACCUGCUCAGCAAAGCCAGCUCCUUCAGAGUCACUAGGGUAGUUCUGCAUACAUAGCUUGGCAACUCCAAUGACAGUGUUCCCAAAGGUAAGGUCGGGAAUAUGCCUGACAUUCCUCAGGAGAGGAAGACAAUUUCUCAAGGACUAUUACCCUCACAAGGCAACUCAGCACAACAAAAUGCCCCUGCUCCCAGUGUCAACAAAAUAAGAGGCAGAAUUUGUUACUGCCUGUAUUUUUCACCAUGCCUCCAUUUUUAUUCUGAAGAACUUGAGAGCAGAGCAGAGUGUAAGACAGGUGAGGCUCUGUAGCUGAAUAAGUGCUCAGGUAAUUAUUCACUACCGCAAGUGUAACAGUGGCAACUUCUAUUGCAUGGCUGCAACUACUGCAAUAGUUGUCUGGCUGCAAUGACCACACUGCUCUGCCAUCAACAUGCAGAAAGUCAGCAGGUAGUGGUGAAGAAAGAUGGUCCUCAGCAAGAAAAUAAAAUAAUGAAAGUGGUUAUGUUGUUUUUGAAGAGAGACCUCCAUGGGCCUCUCUGGAGACAGAACACAAACCACCAAUCAACCCAAACAAGUGCAACAAAGGCAUUGUAUCUCAAACUACUCAGGGUUAGGUCUCUGAUCUGGCAUGUUGAGCAACUGGACAUAGCAGCUUGUUAGGUACAAGGGAAGGCAAGAUAACAGAUUAGCUUAAACCUGUACAUGUCUCCUCAAUGAGAGCAAGAAAAGAAAAACAACUAGAAUGACUAUUUCAGGAACUGUCUUAGAAACUGAAGACCUAACAGCCUCCUGGGAACCCUUCAGCCUCAGUGCCACCUGAACAUCCAGCAUAGUGAUUACAGCAAGACACCCCUUUCCAGGAUCUAGUCUCUGUCAACCAUUCAGUUGACUGGCCCAAGACAGGCUUAACCCAUAAUCUCUUUAAAUUCUUCCUGCAGAACACAAAGAGUCAAAACACAGUAAAAUAAACAAAAGCAAGGCUCUUCUCCUGACUAGCAUAGCCUGUGGUAGUCCAAGCCCCUUGUGUGGUGUGCUUUAGUCUUCAGCACUUCUAACAAGUGCCAGAUCCCAGCCCCACAGCCUCUGCCAGAUCCCACUUUACAAUCUCUCUGACUUUUUACUAUUUCCUAGGGCAAAAUCUGAUAAGAGGUUGCCAGGCCCCUGGUCUAUAUGAUGUUUACAGGAAGAGACCACUCUAUCCAAAGCUUCAUUAGAUAAACUAGACUCAAUAUCAGCACAUGUACAUAUUUGAGAGGAUUAAGAACAAGAUUUCAUCAAAAGGUAUUUCAAUUAUCAGACUGCACAGUAGAUACACAGCAAGGCAAAUGACUCUGAGAGCAAGUCUGGCCAUGUAUCAACAACCUGUCCGUCCCAUGAAAAGUCUACCUGCCUACUUGGUCCUGCCCCAGGAAGCACCCUUGUGAGGAUUGGCAGAUUGGUGAGAGGAAGGAGGGCAGCCUGAGAGCAGUGUCAGUGCAGAUGGGAUCAGGUGAGCGACUAGGAAAGAGGUUUUUUGGAGAGACCCUAGAGGGUCCUGGCAAGGUAGACUGCUGCACUGGAGCAUCAGCUCUUUGGUUCUGAUUGAGCCAAUGACUUACUUUAGUUAAGUGCCUGAUUAUAUGCCACCUACCCCAACAACUAAGCUUAGACACAAAUUAGUGAGAUAAGCACAUAUUUGCCCCAUGUGGGUUGGAAACUGUCUGGAUCAGCCACACUCAAAGUCAGUCAUCAGUACAAAGUCCAAGUGACAACCAGUGGACUCUAGUGGCAUCUCUUAAAGGUCAGUACACUGUGAUGUCCUUAGUAACACCCUGAACGGUGUAACAAAGCUUACAAACAGCAAAUUCAUACACAACACCAAAUCAGGAGUAGUGUCUGACAUGCUUGGAGCGCAGUGCUAACACUUGGAGAAAUCCAAGUAAGCUGGAGGAAUGGGUAAUAACAAUUUCAUGGAAAAAAUAAUCAAAUGUGACUCCCUUGCCUGGGACAGAAUAACUCCAUAAAACAGUACUGGGUGCCACCUGGCUGAGGAGCCGCUUCACUGAAAAAGUGUUUGGCAUUUGCAAAAAGUUUGGGAAAGCAGCAACAAAAUACUAACGCUUUGUCCCCAAAAAUGUCCCAAAUAUGUCCCCAAGAUCCUGAUUGUUUCCCAUAAGACUAAUCAAACACUAGACCAAGUAGCCCAGAAACGUUGUAGAAACCCCAUUCCCAGGGAUAUCCGAAAUCACACUGGCUAACACGGCGAGCAACACACUCUGGUUGGACCUGCUUCGAGCCGGCGGCUGGACUAAGGACCUCUGGGGUCACAGCACCCCGAUCCAAUACUCCUCAGCUGGGACUACUUUACCUUUCUCCCCCAGUGCUCAGCUUCCCGGAGACCAGCAGGGAGCAGUGAAAGGCGAGGAAUGAGGACUUACCCACCCGACGAGCAGCAUUCCUGCAAGGCUGCAGACACUUGCCGGAACCGCCCAGCGCUGAAGUUGUGAAUGCCCAGCCCGGGGAAGCGGGAAGGGGCCUCGGCCAGGCUCCGGCCAAGGAAGGGCACGGUGGGAUGCGACCCCCGGGCACGGGACAGGGCCGGGAGCCGCCGUGGGGACGCCAGAGCCGAGCAGAUACGGGAGAGCGCGGGUAGCCACUCUCUCGGGGACCUGGCCAAGGGACGAAGAGGCCGGGGCGUUUCCUAUAGCCGGAGGGUCGGGCGGAGGGGCUGGCCAGCUGGCUGCACCCACGGGUGCCAGCCCACGAGCCUGAUCCCCAGUAUCAGAAGAACUCCCGAGAUCUUCCCGAUAUUGCUGCUGUCGGCUCUGGACAUUGCUUGUUGCUUCAAGGGUCUGGGUUGCUACAAGGUUCAUAUUGCACAACUGUCCUCCUUGAUCUCGAGAUAUAAACACACAUGCUUUAAACCGAAAUUUAAAUUCUUACAUAACCACAUGACUCCAGGCACUGGGAUGAUGAUGAAAUCCCAAGAAGCAUCAAGACUCUUCCACUGACAACAGACCUGCCAAAACCCAGGAGACGUGGGCCAUUUUACUGGUCAGCUUUGCUACAGCUCAGGAUAGUGCCCAUAACCAUUGUGCAAAUGGGCACCAAGGCCACAAAGACAUUUGCAUCUGCUGUCAGUUCUAGUAUAAAUUACUUUUUUUUUUUACGUAGCAUGUUGAUUUAAACUAUAGAACUUUAUUCAUAAAUUACAUGUAUGGAAAAUCAGACACAGGACAAAAAGAAACCUUCCAGUAAAUGGAUGCCUUGUGACCCCAAAACUCUGGGUUUAGAGGUGGCUGAGCUUAGAAGAGCUGCCUCAGGGGUCUAAUUGGGGUGGAUGACUAUGACUGGGGUGGUUGCAGGCAUGCCCAUCUUAGUCUCUCCACCCUGCUCUCCUGUCCUGGGCUAACACACCUGUUCCAGGGGAGGCAGAAGAAUGGGAACAUCAGUCCUUGUCACUGGGCAUCAGGGAGCUUUGCACAAGCCCCUUUCCUCAGUCAUUUGGUUAGCUAAUAGCUCUAUUAGGCCAUGGGCAAGGGUACAGCACAGGCUGUCACCCAAGAGACCUAGCAACACACUGUAGACAGCAAAGAUAGUAGUUUAAAUUGCUAGUUAGAUCUGUCAGAGCAUGAUAUUCAGAUCUUAGAGCUGCUCAUACAUAUACAUAGAGACAUUUCAUAGAUCUGGAGUAGUUGCUUGCCACAAACCCUUUGUGCUACCACUCAGCAGCUUCCACACACACCACCAAGGCAUUACUUGGCUCUCCGUGAUGCAACAGAGACACAAUGGCUGACCCAGCCAUUCAUACACUCAGUGCAUCAACAAAAGUUGGAAGGGGUCUCUGAAUGCCACCCUUCCCAUCCCUGCUCGAAGCAGAGUCAGUUAGAGUGGGUGGCUCAGAGCCAGUCAAGUUUUGAUUACCUCCAGGGCUGAGGUUUUACAGCCUCUCCAGGCGACAUGCUCCAGCGUCUGACCACUUUCAAGGUCUUGACUAAAUGUGUUGCGGCUAAGAUCCAGUGAAGGAUUUGCCCUUGGAACUUAAAGGUAUGUAGAAAACGGAUAAAACUUUUCUCAAAUAAAUGUUCCCAAUCCGGAUCGUCCUUUCUGAGGGAUGAGGCA